rnacentral:rRNA from 1 species
GUGCCUAAUACAUGCAAGUCGAGCGAACAGAUAAGGAGCUUGCUCCUUUGACGUUAGCGGCGGACGGGUGAGUAACACGUGGGUAACCUACCUAUAAGACUGGAAUAACUCCGGGAAACCGGGGCUAAUGCCGGAUAACAUUUAGAACCGCAUGGUUCUAAAGUGAAAGAUGGUUUUGCUAUCACUUAUAGAUGGACCCGCGCCGUAUUAGCUAGUUGGUAAGGUAAUGGCUUACCAAGGCAACGAUACGUAGCCGACCUGAGAGGGUGAUCGGCCACACUGGAACUGAGACACGGUCCAGACUCCUACGGGAGGCAGCAGUAGGGAAUCUUCCGCAAUGGGCGAAAGCCUGACGGAGCAACGCCGCGUGAGUGAUGAAGGGUUUCGGCUCGUAAAACUCUGUUAUUAGGGAAGAACAAACGUGUAAGUAACUGUGCACGUCUUGACGGUACCUAAUCAGAAAGCCACGGCUAACUACGUGCCAGCAGCCGCGGUAAUACGUAGGUGGCAAGCGUUAUCCGGAAUUAUUGGGCGUAAAGCGCGCGUAGGCGGUUUCUUAAGUCUGAUGUGAAAGCCCACGGCUCAACCGUGGAGGGUCAUUGGAAACUGGGAGACUUGAGUGCAGAAGAGGAAAGUGGAAUUCCAUGUGUAGCGGUGAAAUGCGCAGAGAUAUGGAGGAACACCAGUGGCGAAGGCGACUUUCUGGUCCGUAACUGACGCUGAUGUGCGAAAGCGUGGGGAUCAAACAGGAUUAGAUACCCUGGUAGUCCACGCCGUAAACGAUGAGUGCUAAGUGUUAGGGGGUUUCCGCCCCUUAGUGCUGCAGCUAACGCAUUAAGCACUCCGCCUGGGGAGUACGACCGCAAGGUUGAAACUCAAGGAAUUGACGG